rnacentral:rRNA from 1 species
CCUACGGGUGGCAGCAGUGGGGAAUAUUGCACAAUGGGGGAAACCCUGACGCAGCGACGCCGCGUGAGUGAAGAAGGUUUUCGGUAUGUAAAGCUCUUUCGGCAGUGAAGAUUAUGACGGUACCUGAUAAAUAAGCCCCGGCUAACUACGUGCCAGCAGCCGCGGUAAUACGUAGGGGGCAAGCGUUAUCCGGAAUUACUGGGCGUAAAGGGAGCGUAGGCGGUUUAGUAAGUCAGGAGUGAAAUGCUGGGGCUUAACUUCCGGACUGCAUUUGAAACUGUUAGGCUGGAGUGCAGGAGAGGUAAGUGGAAUUCCUGGUGUAGAGGUGAAAUGCGUAGAUAUUAGGAGGAACACCAGUGGCGAAGGCGACUUACUGGAUUGUCACUGACGCUGAGGCUCGAAAGCGUGGGGAGCAAACAGGAUUAGAUACCCCAGUAGUC